rnacentral:rRNA from 1 species
AGUGGCAAACGGCUGAGUAACGCGUAGGAACCUACCCCAAACUCGAGUAUAGCCCCGCGAAAGCGGGGGUAAUCCUCGAUAGCCCGUGAAGUAUUUUACUUCACGGUAAAGCUUUUGCGGUUUGGGAUGGGCCUGCGUCCUAUCAGGUAGUUGGUGAGGUAAAUGCUCACCAAGCCUAUGACGGGUAGCUGGUCUGAGAGGAUGGUCAGCCAGACUGGGACUGCGACACGGCCCAGACUCCUACGGGAGGCAGCAACUAGGAAUUGUGCGCAAUGGACGAAAGUCUGACGCCGCGACAUCGCGUGGAGGAUGAAGGUCUUCGGAUUGUAAACUCCUUUUCUUACCGAACAAGUUCUGAGUGUAGGUAAGGAAUAAGUGCCUGCUAACCACGUGCCAGAAGCAUCGGUAAUACGUGGGGCACGAGCGUUAUCCGGAUUUACUGGGCGUAAAGAGAAGCGUAGGCGGCUCAAUAAGUUUGGUGUUAAAUCUUCCGGCUCAACCGGAAACAAGCACCGAAAACUAUCGAGAUUGAGUCGAGUAGGAAGAGGGGAAUUCCUGGUGGAGCGGUUAAAUGCGUAGAUAUCAGGAGGAAUACCAAGGGCGAAGGCACCUCUUUGGACUCGUACUGACGCUGAGGCUCGAAAGCGUGGGUAGCAAAACGGAUUAGAUACCCGUGUAGUCCACGCCGUAAACGAUCCCUGUUAGAUGUAUGUUUUGUC